AUUGUAGUGGACCAGCGGCAUGAACGCAGAUAGCUGCAAAUACACGUGCUAUUAGAACCAAGUAAUGUGUGACAAAACGAAGCCCGUGAUGGAGACCGUGAAGAUCGAAAGAGUAAUGCACCUAAGCAGGCGGAGAGAAGACGCCUCGCUUCCAUGAGAUAUAACCAACGGCGGAUACUGAACUCGCGUAAGACUUGUUGACGAUGCGGUAGAGCGUAGAGGGGAAGGGCGAGGCGAACGGCAGGAUGGAAGCGAAGAACGAUAGCGGCGUUCUUUGAGUUCCAUGAAUGCCCUAAGAUGACCACGCUACGUAGUUACCAACUACGGUGUUAUCUCCUCUCUCCGCCUCCAAGGCUUGUCAAUACCAUUUAUGAAACAAACAUUAACUACGAUACGCAUCAUGGAAAUGAUAAUCCAAGAAAAAUCAUCUCCCAAGUCGCCACCGAGAGUGAAAGGAAGAUAUGGACAUUUGGACAAUCAAAAAUAUAUUAAAAUAAAUAUCAAUAAAAUAUCUAUAACAAACUAAGUCGUUUUAGACAAAAACUAAAUUAAAUUAUGUAUUAAAUUAUACGGAAAAAACAUUUCAUUGGUGUAACUAAAUUUUCCAUUGUUUCAAGAUCAGACAAAAACUCGGUUGGAAGAACAAAGAUUCCUAUAGGAAGUUUUUACACGGCCAAUUGUCUUUAG